rnacentral:rRNA from 1 species
CCUACGGGAGGCAGCAGUAGGGAAUAGUGCUCAAUGGGGGAAACCCUGAAGCAGCAACGCCGCGGGGAGGAUGAAGGUUUUCGGAGUGUAAACUCCUGUUGUUAGAGAAGAGAAGGACGGUAGCUAACGAAUAAGCACCGGCUAACUCCGUGCCCGCAGCCGCGGUAAUACGGAGGGGGCAAGCGUUACUCGGAAUCACUGGGCGUAAAGAGCGCGUAGGCGGGAUAGCAAGUCAGAUGUUAAAUCCUAGGGCUUAACACUAGAACUGCAUUUGAAACUGUUAUUCUAGAGUAUGGGAGAGGUCGGUGGAAUUCUUGUUGUAGGGGUCACAUCCGUAGAGAUCACGAGGAAUACUCAUUGCGCCUGCGACCUGCUAGACCAUACCUGACGCUGAUGCGC